UAUCAGCAGAAAGAAAUGAGAGAAAAGGCAGCACAUCAUGUCUGAAAUGUUGCUGAGUGAAUGAACCUGUAAAACAGCAGCAGGCCAGCGUCCAGAUGAGGAUGGUGAUGAGAGUCAUGGUGGUUGUGGUUUCUGCCGUGUUGACUGACAGAUCUGAGUCCUGCAGUGUUGAACUCACAGGACUAUAAACCUUCUCAGUUCACUGGAGGAUCAGCUGACGAUGCAAAGCCUCCUCUCUAUGGAAAUUAUUUCUCCGCUCUCAACAGACUGAAGCCAACGUGGGACACAAAAUCAGGAGGAAAACAGCCUGGAUUUAAAUCAUCUAUGAUCUUAAUGGAACAGAAGAAAAUAUUUAUAUUAGAAGUGCAGUUGAGGAUUUAAGGAUGACUUUGUGUCCACUGUGGUUGCUGGCACCAUGGUCAGGCCCUCAGUCUCUCUGCUCCCCCCCUCCUCUGAGCAGCUCUCUGGGGGCUCGGCCACGCUGGCUUGCCUGCUGACUGGCUACUCUCCUCAGGGAGCUGUGGUGAGCUGGGAGGUGGACGGUACAGAGGUGACAGAGGGAGUCCUGACCAGCUCAGAGGAGGAGAAGAGCGGACGCUAUAGCAGCAGCAGCACCCUGAGCCUGAGCAAGGAGCGCUGGAUGGGAGGAGAGCUGUACUCCUGCAAGGUCCUCCAUCAUGACCACAGCCAGACACAGUCCCUCCACAGGAGCCAGUGUAAGGGUUAG